GGCCCAAUGGUCUAGUAGUAUGAUUCGCGCUUCGGGUUGUACCCCAGUGUAACGCUGAGACUGCGCGAGGUCCCGGGUUCAAUUCCCGGUUGGGCCC
rnacentral:tRNA from 1 species